rnacentral:rRNA from 1 species
CCCCAAAAAGUAGUCAUAUGCUUGUCUCAAAGAUUUAACCAUGCAUGUCUAAGUAUAAACAAUUCUAUACUGCGAACCUGCAAAUGGCUCAUUAAAUCAGUUAUAGUUUAUUUGAUAAUAUCUACUACUCGGAUAACCGUGGUAAUUCUAGAGCUAAUACGUGCGUAAAAACCCGACUUACGAAGGGUUGUAUUUAUUAGAUACAAAACCAAUGCAGGGUAACCUGGUUUCUUGGUGAUUCAUAAUAACUUCUCGGAUCGCAUGGCUCACGCCGGCGACGUUUCAUUCAAAUUUCUGCCCUAUUUUUUUUUGAUGGUAAGGCCUUGGCUUAUCAUGGGUACAACAGGUCCCCCAGAAUUAGGGUUCGAUUCCGGAGAGGGAGCCUGAGAAACGGCUACCACUUCCAAGGAAGGCAGCUGGUGCGCAA